rnacentral:rRNA from 1 species
UACGUAGGGUGCGAGCGUUGUCCGGAAUUACUGGGCGUAAAGAGCUCGUAGGCGGCUUGUCGCGUUGUCCGUGAAAAUUUACCGCUCAACGGUGAACUUGCGGGCGAUACGGGCAGGCUAGAGUACUGCAGGGGAGACUGGAAUUCCUGGUGUAGCGGUGAAAUGCGCAGAUAUCAGGAGGAACACCGGUGGCGAAGGCGGCAUCCUGGACCGACACUGACGCUGAGGAGCGAAAGCCAGGGGAGCAAACGGG